UUAUAAGAAGUAAUAAUUACAUUUAAAUUCGAAUUAAAAAUUGAUUAAGUUAUUUAAUCCUUAUAAA
rnacentral:tRNA from 1 species